GAGAGACCUUAAACCACAGCCGGAUUCAUCUCAUUUUUUACAUUAUUUCUGUUUUAUUUGCCUAAUGGGAUGUCAAAUAGGGUGGAAGAAAAGAUGGUAGAAAGUCAGUCGGGUAUUGGAUAGAAAUCAUCACAACUGCCCGGUGUUCUUAAAAAAAGGUGUAUUCUCCCCUUAAAGCCCUGACUUGGCAGAGAUCCCAGAGGAAGAGACAAGAAAUCGCUUCAACCGUUUUUGGAUUUCCAAAUUGUGGAGCGAUCUUGAAUUUUAAAUAAUCAGCUGCUGAAGGACUAAUUGUUCCACAGUCUGAGGUAGACCAUUUUAAAUGGAGGGAAAGGAUGAAAAAUCCAAUGGGAAUCCUCGCCCAUAUUAACGUGACACGAAAGAUGAUGCAGAAAGAAUAGACCGACUUGAGCUCAGUCCGCAUUUGGGAAGAUGGAAUUUCUAUAUGCCCUAUCUGUCUUAGGUUGUUCUUUCCAUUCCAUUAACAUGUUGCAUAUUCCAUGUAAUUAAAAAUGGUGGUAUUUUACGUUGAUCUAUUGUAUGCUUUGGGUCAUUAGACCUGAUUGUAAAGGAAAGUUUGACUGGGAUAAUAUACAAGUACUGAAACCCUUUUCUAUUUUGAAUCAAAUUUAGAGAGAGAGAGAGACAGACAGACAGAGAGCGACAGAGAGAGAUUUUCGACUAAAGUCAAAUAUGUAUUAUAUAUGUGUGUGUGUGUGUGU